UACGUAGGGGGCAAGCGUUAUCCGGAUUUACUGGGUGUAAAGGGAGCGUAGACGGCGAUGCAAGUCUGAAGUGAAAGGCGGGGGCCCAACCCCCGGACUGCUUUGGAAACUGUAUGGCUGGAGUGCAGGAGAGGUAAGUGGAAUUCCUAGUGUAGCGGUGAAAUGCGUAGAUAUUAGGAGGAACACCAGUGGCGAAGGCGGCUUACUGGACUGUAACUGACGGUGAGGCGCGAAAGCGUGGGGAGCAAACAGG
rnacentral:rRNA from 1 species